AUUGAACGCUGGCGGCGUGCUUAACACAUGCAAGUCGAACGGUGAACGAGGAGCUUGCUCCUCUGGAUCAGUGGCGAACGGGUGAGUAACACGUGAGCAAUCUGCCCCGAACUCUGGGAUAAGCACUGGAAACGGUGUCUAAUACCGGAUACGACGCGGGAGGGCAUCCUCUCCGCGUGGAAAGAAUUUCGGUUCGGGAUGAGCUCGCGGCCUAUCAGCUUGUUGGUGAGGUAAUGGCUCACCAAGGCGACGACGGGUAGCCGGCCUGAGAGGGUGACCGGCCACACUGGGACUGAGACACGGCCCAGACUCCUACGGGAGGCAGCAGUGGGGAAUAUUGCACAAUGGGCGCAAGCCUGAUGCAGCAACGCCGCGUGAGGGACGACGGCCUUCGGGUUGUAAACCUCUUUUAGCAGGGAAGAAGCGAAAGUGACGGUACCUGCAGAAAAAGCACCGGCUAACUACGUGCCAGCCGCCGCGGUAAGAC
rnacentral:rRNA from 1 species